ACAUGGCUUCCUUUGUUUCACGUGUUGUCCGUGUUUGGGGCCUUGAGCUUUUUGACUUCUGUUUUCUGGAGCUCGCACUUCUGCCGCGGGUGGU
rnacentral:SRP_RNA from 1 species